ACAGGACCUUAGUGCCGAGCACCGGGCU
rnacentral:sRNA from 1 species